CCUGAUUUCGUUCAAUGGCAGGACGCUCGGUUGUGGACCGGGAGACGCGGAGUUCGAUUCUCCCAAUCAGGACCA
rnacentral:tRNA from 1 species